AAUGGGCGCAAGCCUGAUCUAACCAUGCCGCGUGAGUGAUGAAGGCCUUAGGGUCGUAAAGCUCUUUCGCCAGGGAUGAUAAUGACAGUACCUGGUAAAGAAACCCCGGCUAACUCCGUGCCAGCAGCCGCGGUAAUACGGAGGGGGUUAGCGUUGUUCGGAAUUACUGGGCGUAAAGCGUACGUAGGCGGAUUAGAAAGUUGGGGGUGAAAUCCCGGGGCUCAACCCCGGAACUGCCUCCAAAACUACUAGUCUAGAGUUCGAGAGAGGUGAGUGGAACUCCGAGUGUAGAGGUGAAAUUCGUAGAUAUUCGGAAGAACACCAGUGGCGAAGGCGGCUCACUGGCUCGAUACUGACGCUGAGGUACGAAAGUGUGGGGAGCAAACAGGAUU
rnacentral:rRNA from 1 species